UUUAAGAUGGUGUUUGAAUUAAAAAGAAUAAUUUUAAUCGGUUCUUUUCAUUAUUCUCAUCGCAAUACACAUAUAUUCAUGUAUGGUUGUUAAGGUUAACCUGAUUUAUAGAGGGUUGAGUUAACGGUGUGGGUGUAGAUUUGUGGCGUUUAGGGCACUUUAUGUUGCACACACCACAUUGCACACGACGUUGUUAUCGACAUUGUUAAGUAGGCGGAAGGAUUUUCACUUGCAUGGAAGGGCAAGUGGGUGCAACGCGGCGUGCUUUUAUUGGAUGUGGUAAUUAACCAUUGCCCCCACAACUAGUAAAAAAAUUAAAAAUUUACUCCUCUUAUAUAUAUUACGCCACUUCUAUUAUUUUAAAACCAUAAUCUCUCAACCCACAUAUCAAUUCUUCCAUUACAUGUCAAAACACCCUCUCAAAAACACUUCGAAAUGCCGGUUAUUCCAUGGAGCGUAUAAGAGGACAUUGCGUUUUGCGAAUCGUGGGUCGUGGCGGUGACCAACCACGAGGCUCGUCAACGGUGAGUACAACAACGAUGGUGACUUCAAACACUAGGCGGCGUGGCAAAAUUGAGGCGAGAUUUGAGGCACUUGUCAACGGUGUGGACAAUGAUGAUGGUGAGCUAAACAAAGACGACAUCAACCAAGUCGCUUGCAUAGCAGGUACGCUGGUGACUUCAAACACUACGCGGCAUCGCAAAUAAUACGUUUUUUUGGUUAAUAUUUAUGUUAACGUUUUAUUUUAAAUUAUGUAAUGUUUUUUUUUUUUUUUUUAAGUUAUGUCUCGUUAUUUUUUUAAUUAGUAUUAAUUCGUUUUAUUUAAAUUUAAAACACCACGUCUUCACGCCCCAGGUCACAUCGUCUGUUUUACCACCACACCACACUAUGACGUGUGAUCUACAUGUCGUAUAAUGUCUCAUCUUGAAGCCCCUACAUACCGUUUGGUGUUAAAACUUGUUUAAUUUUUUUUUUCGUAUUCGGAUUGUGUCGGGGAUUGCUAUGUGUCAGCUAUUGCGUCUACGUUCAAUUUCAGUGUAUUAAAUGCAGUAAUAUGCUGACAUAAACUUUGUUUUGCAAGUUUUGUCACUAUUAGCAUGUUUUUUAGCGGCUGUGUAGGUAUCUUGUGAGAAUUUUAUUGUGAUUUAAACUGUGAUAGAAAUAAUUAUUUUUUAGUGUACAGUUAAACUAAUUUAAUUGUUUUUACUCUUAGAUUAAAAUAAUCAACUUCCGUUGAAAAUCUGUUCAAAAUUUUAGAACAAAUGUGCAUGCACAAAAUUAUUAACUGAGUAUUAUGUUGUUUGUUUCUUAAUUUUUUUAGGUUAAUUUUGGUCAGAAUAUAUUUCACCAAAAAACUUGCUAAGUUACAUCAAAACAGAAGGUAAACGGGCAACAAGCUGUGCCGCUAUCCAUUUCUGAAUUAAUAUUUUUUAAGUAUAAUAAUAAUAACUAUUUUGAGAGAAAAAAAAACAUCUAAUCAAAUUUAUGGUUGUAGUUAGGUUGUAGUUAGAAAUUUAGGAUACAAUGUGCUUGUUUCAAUGAUAUUAAACUUCAAGUUGUUUUUUUUAACGAAUUGUCAAAAUGUAGAGACUAGGGUAAGAUUAAUAUAUAACCUAGUAUGAUAGACAUGACAUAGAUGUGAUCUAAACCAAAUCUUAAUGAAAUAUAUAACAUAUACAAAGGGAUUAUUAUAUUUAUAUGAUACUUUUAAUACGGGUCGUAUAGCCCUAUAUGACCCGUAUAACACUCAUUACAAUUUCUCAGGUUAGUCAUAGGCUGAUACUCUCGUCACGUGUUAACCCUAUACGCAUUGUAGGGCUAUACGAUGCGUAUUUGGUACGAGGUUAGAUAUUUGUCACUCAAUAGUGACAGAAAGUGAUGGAUGUGAAUAUUACGUUAGCCCUAUACGGAUCGUAUAGGGCAAUACGACCCGUAUUGGUAUAUGAAAAACAAUUUCAAUCUUCUACCUUUAUAAACAACGAAGGAGACGGUGAAAUAUUCAUUGUUUCUUCUUCGCUUCUUUCUUUGUUUUGAAAAACGAUUCCACUAUGUCUUGGCUUGAUCUCAAUUACGAUUUUGGCGAGUCUCCCGGCAACAACACGAGCACGUUUAUUGUGGAAAGCAGUGUGGUAUAGUAUUUGUUAACUUGUUUAUGUGUUUUAUUUAUGAAAUUCUUAACAUGUAGUUGUUUUAGGAGGGGUCUGUUUUCCCUGAUUCUUACGAGGGGAGAGUAAAUGAUGAUCAUGUGGAGGAGGUCGUGUCCGGCUUUUGUUCCCAUGAUAAGGAAUCGUUGUUGUCAGAUUUCAACGCGUUUGUUGUGCCCCGGGAACCGUUGUUUCCAGAUCUGAACGAGUUAUUGUCCCUAGCGGUGACUAUGGUUAUGGGUGUCGGGAUUAUGAAGCCGGUUAUGGUGCCUCGUACGGACAAGAAGACUAUGGCAAUAACUUUUUCGUUAGUGAUGCCUCAUGUGUACAACAAGACGUUGGUGAGCCUUCUUACAUCGAAGAGUCAUUGGGUGACGAGCAAUCUGCUUACCCUGAACUUUUGUUCAAAACUGGUCAAAUAUGAAUGAUAUAUGUUUUGUUACUAUAAAUGUUGUAUUUUUUUUGUUAAAAAAUUAUUAUAAAUGUUAUAUAUAUUUUUCGCUUAGGGUUUUAUAUCCGCAAUGAGUUGGAACGUUGGGUAAAAACAAGGGAUUUAGCCAACGGAUACGUUAUUGUUACUAUACGGUCCAAGGAUCAUUGGAUAUGGCUCCAAUGUUGUCGUAGCGACGGGCAUGAGAAUAAUGCCACGGUUUAAGAAAACUGACGGGCACUUAUGUGGUUUGUGUCGUUUUGUUAUUGAAGUUGAUUUUGUGGUGGAUUGUUUUGAAUGAGUUGCUUGAGGGCAAGCAACGGUUAAGUGUGGGGAUGUGACGGGUGAACCGUAGGAGGAUCUUUAAGUUGAUUAAAUAAGAAAGAAAUUGAUAUAUUUGAUGUUUAAAUUGGUGAAUCCAGAUGACUACGGCGAACUUGAUGAUUACAGGUUAAAGGAGCUAAGGAGGUGUAAAGAAAAAGCAUGGAACAAACGGGAGCUUAAAACGGAAGGAAUAUGCAGCAUAAAUGAAGAAAAUAAUUUAUUAGAAUCGAAGAAUUAAGAAUAUAACAUGAUAGAGGAAGAAAUUACGAGAACGUGGGCGAAAACGACGAAGAAAACAGAGUUGAAACGAGAAAGUUACGAAGAAAACAAAAUUGCUUAGCUGAAGCCUACCGUAGCUUACGGUAGCUACCGUAAGCUACGGUAUACCCUGAAAAAAAUUGAUGCCGUAAGACAGUUUCUUGCCACCGUAGGCUUUUUGAUGACCACCGUAAGCUACGGUAGCCACCGUAGCUUACGGUGGAGCCAGACGCAAAAUGUGUAACUCCUUUUUAUGGUUUGUGGGUUGUGACUCUUGGAGAUCCUUAUCAUUAUCUCUGUUUCAGAACUUGGUAGUGGCAAAUUUAGGGUGACAAGACCAUAUUUUUGGGUGUUUCAAUCAUUACUUUUCCAUCUCUGAUCCAUAUGAACAUCGGAAUUGAAGUGGUGAUCAACCGAACUAUG